rnacentral:tRNA from 1 species
GCAGGGGUAGUCAAGCAUGGCCAACGACGCUAGGUUGAGGGCCUAGUCCUUCAGUGGUCCGUGGGUUCAAAUCCCAUCCCCUGCACC